rnacentral:rRNA from 1 species
CUCGUAGGCGGUUCGUCGCGUCCGGUGUGAAAGUCCAUCGCUUAACGGUGGAUCCGCGCCGGGUACGGGCGGGCUUGAGUGCGGUAGGGGAGACUGGAAUUCCCGGUGUAACGGUGGAAUGUGUAGAUAUCGGGAAGAACACCAAUGGCGAAGGCAGGUCUCUGGGCCGUUACUGACGCUGAUGAGCGAAAGCGUGGGGAGCGAACA